GACGAACGCUGGCGGCGUGCUUAACACAUGCAAGUCGAACGGAAAGGCCCUGCUUUUGUGGGGUGCUCGAGUGGCGAACGGGUGAGUAACACGUGAGUAACCUGCCCUUGACUUUGGGAUAACUUCAGGAAACUGGGGCUAAUACCGGAUAGGAGCUCCUGCUGCAUGGUGGGGGUUGGAAAGUUUCGGCGGUUGGGGAUGGACUCGCGGCUUAUCAGCUUGUUGGUGGGGUAGUGGCUUACCAAGGCUUUGACGGGUAGCCGGCCUGAGAGGGUGACCGGCCACAUUGGGACUGAGGUACGGCCCGGACUCCUACGGGAGGCAGCAGUGGGGAAUGUUGCACAAUGGGCGGAAGCCCGAUGCAGCAACGCCGCGUGGGGGAUGACGGCCUUCGGGUAAUAAACCGCUUUCGCCUGUGACGAAGCGUGAGUGACGGUAAUGGGUAAAGAAGCACCGGCUAACUACGUG
rnacentral:rRNA from 1 species